rnacentral:rRNA from 1 species
UACGUAGGGCGCAAGCGUUGUCCGGAAUUAUUUGGGCGUAAAGAGCUCGUAGGCGGUUUGUCGCGUCUGCUGUGAAAUCCCGAGGCUCAACCUCGGGCUUGCAGUGGGUACGGGCAGACUAGAGUGCGGUAGGGGAGACUGGAAUUCCUGGUGUAGCGGUGGAAUGCGCAGAUAUCAGGAGGAACACCGAUGGCGAAGGCAGGUCUCUGGGCCGCAACUGACGCUGGAGGAGCGAAAGCGUGGGGAGCAAACAGG